rnacentral:lncRNA from 1 species
CGCCCCCUCCUCUUCUGUGCAGAGAAAGGUAGCCGGGGAGCUGUUGCAUGGCUGGGGUGCCGUCUGCCCUGACCCCUAUCGUUUCGCCUCUUGGCUUGGGUCCCAGGCCCCACGAUGGGCCGGCGGCUGGCUAAGGCCACAGAUGAGCUGAGUAGCUACACGGUAUGGCUUGGGAGCAUUUCAGCAUGGCGGGAAGGGAGCGUGCUUUGCAGGCGAAUGGCCCCAGCGUCCUGGCCCAGCCCUCUUUCCUUUGAAAUCCAACUGCAUUCUGGCACUUUGCAUUACUUAGGGUAACACGGGCAGCAGUAACAAAGAACCCCUCCGAUGUCACAGCCUUAGCACUGAUAUUUACGUCCAGUUCAGGACAGUGGGUGACCGUCCUCAGGUGGCGAUUCAGGAGCCCAGGCUCGCCGACCCCUAGGGCCUCGGAGAUCUCCGCGCGGAGGGUGAGAGAAAGCGCAGGUUACAUGAGCCUCAAACGACACACCUCACUUCUACUCACGUUUCAUUGUCAGGAGGAUGGGGAAACGUAAUCCGAGGGAGAACUUCGUGCUGUGGCCGGGAGGGUGCCAGUGUCGCUGUCACAGUAAUGGGGUAAACUUUCAAAGCUUCGAUUUCCUCGUCUGUAAACAGAGACGUGGAACCAACAGCCGAGAGUUACCAGGAAGACGAGAGCUGAUGUCUGCGAUGCAACUCAGCCAGUGCCUGACGUGGAUCGGGGGCUGUGAUUACAGCCAGAGGGACAGGGGCUGUCUCAUCAGCUGGAGCCGGGGCGAUCCAAGCUCAUGCCCACGUGUCCAUCCUGUGCUUCUGCAGAAAGAGGUUUCUUACGUGAGACUGUUAUGCAACGUGCGUGCUGGAUCGUGGUUAAUAUGGGAAUGCUGGUCUCCGUCGUGAUGAUUAUUAGGUAACGUGCAUUACGUACUGUGAUUACGUUGUAAAUGCAAGUGAACCGCUCACUCUACCGAACGUCCCAUGGACUAAAAUUCCGGGGGCGUCGACGCAAGCUUUGGACUAUUUUCCCAUUGUUUGCUAUCUUUGAAAAGGCCUUUGUUAUCAAAGCGGUAGAGAUCAUUGCAAAAAUUGCCAACACACAGAUGGCUCUAAAGUGGAACUUAAAAGCCUUCUCCCCACACUCGGGGCCCCCUCUCUUACCGUUGUUGGAUAAGCAACUAUCGUUAACGCUUUCGGUAAAUCCUUCCAGAAACACUCUACGUUUAUACACAAGCAUAUUUAAGUCCUCUCCUUUUGCACAAAAGCGAAUCAUGCUAACGUGUUAUUCCGCAACUCCUUUUUCUUUUUCUCUGCUUCCGCAUCUGCUCUAACUCAAUAGUAUUCCAUCGUGGAAUGAGCCACAGUUUCUUUAACCAGAGAUGAGAGGUUUAGUGCGAAGUAAAAAGGCAUCAAACCCCUCUUUUCUCCGUGUGAGUUGAUGGCUCACUCCCCAAGCUGACCUCCCCACCAGAUUUCAGGUGUCCUCUGAAAUCGCAGUCCCAUCC